CUCGUCUCCUGUGCAUUUGCCAUAGAUUUUGUAGUCCUUGUGUUUGCUGGCUCUAGGUUUGCCUCAUUGGAUUUUCAGCUGUUUCUCCUCCUGUGGAUCCUACCUGCACGUUACCUGCCUGCCUGCUCUGCCGUUCCUCAUUUCUCCACCCUGCUCCAUCAGACCCCGGGCCCUCUGUGUCACCACCCUCCUCGCACUCGUCUAAGGAAUCACCAUCAAUCAUUCUCCACACUGGACCCUGGCCAUAUUUUCCUCCACGUCUCACUCUGAAUCAUCCUAAAUGACACAAACGAACAGAGCGGUUGUCGGCUGACCCGCUGGGCGCUGCGGCCCUCCCUGGGCGCUCCAUCACUGCUCUCUGGAAACAUCAGGAUGAAUGGCUGUUGUUAAGCAAACAGUGAAGUUACAGCUGAGAGUAUUUGGUCAGAGGCGGCGCCAUUUUGUGUGGUUGUGCUCCCUCUUCUGAAAUCGGGCCUCUUGUCACUUUAAAUCCAAAGAAGCUUCUGCUGGCUACGCUCCCAAAAGUCAACGCUUACACUCACACAUAAAAAUGGCUGGAAACAGAAGCGCCAUUAUGCAACCAUACAUCUUUGAAAAGCAGAAGUGGAGCCUCCUGCACAGUCAACUAGAAUGCAGCAAGUGGUUUCUGGAUGAGACUCUGCAAGACCAGUCAGGACCCUCGCCCUCACAACCAGCAGAGAAAAGAGAGGAAGACAGAGAGGAGGAGGUGUAUGAGGAUUGAUCAGCACAGAUAUUACUUAAUAAAUGAGAACAUCAUCCAAAAGAAAACCAGCGUAAUCCUGACAUCACAUCGAUGCCUUCAGCUGUUGUUAAUCCCUGUGUGACAGCAACCUACCAAAGUUCAUCUUUCAACGCCGUCUGCUCCUCAAAAAUCACACAAAUCACACCUUCGCACACAACCGUGGAGGAGGAAGACACAGUGUGGGAGAACUGGAGCCUGAGCACCCAGGGGGCCCUUUGACGACGACAAUGGAGUCAGUUUAUGGAGGAGCGGCGCAGGAUAACUAGGACAGCUAAAGAGGAGCGGCCUGGACAGGCAGGUGAGGCAGAUUGGUGUGAUAUCAGAGGAAUGCCUCUGGGGCUGGAAGUGUGUUUGAGGAAUGAAGACUUGCACAGCGAACAGAUCCUUUCUUCUUCAAAGACUUCUGUUAACACAGCUACUCUCUCACACACACACACACACACUCGGGAGCGAGAACACACACCUCACAGUGGCAUCCUCUAACUUUCUGCUCUUGAUUCAAACACACAGUUUCCAUGUAAACGCUCAGAGAAUGUGUGUUUGUCAGGAGUCUUUGGAGAGAAGCUCUUCAUCAAAAAAAACACAAGAACAAACAAGUUUCUGGA